rnacentral:rRNA from 1 species
AGUGAACGCUGGCGGCGUGGAUUAGGCAUGCAAGUCGAGCGAUCCCGCAAGGGAUAGCGGCAAAAGGGUGAGUAACACGUAAAUAAUCUGCCUUCAAGUCGGGGAUAGCAUCGUGAAAACGGUGGUAAUACCCGAUGUUAUCGGUAGCCCGCAUGGGCGGCCGAUCAAAGACGGGGACCGCAAGGCCUGUCACUUGGAGAUGAGUUUGCGUACCAUCAGCUAGUUGGUAGGGUAACGGCCUACCAAGGCUAAGACGGUUAGCUGGACUGAGAGGUUGACCAGCCACAUUGGGACUGAGACACUGCCCAGACUCCUACGGGUGGCAG